rnacentral:rRNA from 1 species
GGGGAAUAUUGGACAAUGGGGGCAACCCUGAUCCAGCCAUGCCGCGUGAGUGAUGACGGCCUUAGGGUUGUAAAGCUCUUUCACCCACGACGAUAAUGACGGUAGUGGGAGAAGAAGCCCCGGCUAACUUCGUGCCAGCAGCCGCGGUAAUACGAAGGGGGCUAGCGUUGUUCGGAAUCACUGGGCGUAAAGCGUACGUAGGCGGACCUGUAAGUCAGGGGUGAAAUCCCGGGGCUCAACCUCGGAAUUGCCUUUGAUACUGCCGGUCUUGAGUUCGGGAGAGGUGAGUGGAACUGCUAGUGUAGAGGUGAAAUUCGUAGAUAUUAGCAAGAACACCAGUGGCGAAGGCGGCUCACUGGCCCGAUACUGACGCUGAGGUACGAAAGCGUGGGGAGCAAAC